UACGUAGGGCGCAAGCGUUGUCCGGAAUUAUUGGGCGUAAAGAGCUCGUAGGCGGCUUGUCACGUCGGGUGUGAAAGCCCGGGGCUUAACCCCCGGGUCUGCAUUCGAUACGGGCUAGCUAGAGUGUGGUAGGGGAGAUCGGAAUUCCUGGUGUAGCGGUGAAAUGCGCAGAUAUCAGGAGGAACACCGGUGGCGAAGGCGGCCCCUGGCCGUACCGUCGA
rnacentral:rRNA from 1 species